GAAUCCUGGCUCAGGAUGAACGCUAGCUACAGGCUUAACACAUGCAAGUCGAGGGGCAGCAUGGUCUUAGCUUGCUAAGGCUGAUGGCGACCGGCGCACGGGUGAGUAACACGUAUCCAACCUGCCGUCUACUCUUGGCCAGCCUUCUGAAAGGAAGAUUAAUCCAGGAUGGGAUCAUGAGUUCACAUGUUCGCAUGAUUAAAGGUAUUUUCCGGUAGACGAUGGGGA
rnacentral:rRNA from 1 species